UACGAAGGACCCGAGCGUUAUCCGGAUUCAUUGGGUUUAAAGGGUGCGUAGGCGGGCCUAUAAGUCAGUGGUGAAAGCCCUUCGCUUAACGAAGGAAUUGCCAUUGAUACUGUAGGUCUUGAGUAUAGUUGAAGUGGGCGGAAUGUGUCAUGUAGCGGUGAAAUGCUUAGAUAUGACACAGAACACCGAUUGCGAAGGCAGCUCGCUAAACUAUAACUGACGCUGAGGCACGAAAGCGUGGGUAGCAAACAGG
rnacentral:rRNA from 1 species